rnacentral:tRNA from 1 species
UGUCUCGUUGUGUAAAGGUAGCACAGAUGGUUUUGGUCCAUCUAGUCCGGGUUCGAAUCCUGGCGAGACAACUA